CUGACUUGUGUUCCAUCUGGUUCAGGGAAGUCUGAGGGUGGGGAGUUGAGGCCAGUGAAGAUGGGAUGAUCAACAUCAGGAAAAGUGUCUAUCCCAAGCAAACUGAGAAAAUAUAUUCCCAACUUUUGGCAAUAGGAGCAUAAACCUGCAGAAGACUCAGAGGUGGAAGUGCCAGUCUUCAAGAUCACAAAGUCAAGCAGAAUCCCAAUCAAGAAGUUCCUAAAUUGCUGUAUAAGCAAAACAAAGCUGGACAAGCAACCCAAACUGAACUUUGAUUUUGGAUGUCUGACUCAGUGACUGGUGGAAAUGGAGAGGCUGGGCAUGUGAUCACUCACGAUGGCCUCUGCCUGAUAGGAUCUAUCCCAAAGCCCACAGACAUGGAAGAGAAGCACAAAGGACAAGAAGUGACCCCAGGUGCCUUGCUUCCACUUUAUCCAUAUGCAUCUUCCAACAGUUAUGUAAGCAUAAAGAAAGCAUGAAGAAAAGGCGCCACUUGAUCACUCAAGAUUCAUAUACUUCCAAAACGACAUCACAAGCUUGGUGUCUGUAUCUUCACUGUGUCUAGUGUAUCUGGAUGUGCCUCCCCUUGUGUAUGCUCAGCACAGUGUUCUCUGUCUAUAAGUAAUAAAUAGUCAAUGACUA
rnacentral:lncRNA from 1 species